CAGUAGCCGCGGGAACACGUAGGGCGCAAGCGUUAUCCGGAAUUAUUGGGCGUAAAGAGCUCGUAGGCGGUUUGUCGCGUCUGCCGUGAAAGUCCGGGGCUCAACCCCGGAUCUGCGGUGGGUACGGGCAGACUAGAGUGAUGUAGGGGAGACUGGAAUUCCUGGUGUAGCGGUGAAAUGCGCAGAUAUCAGGAGGAACACCGAUGGCGAAGGCAGGUCUCUGGGCAUUAACUGACGCUGAGGAGCGAAAGCAUGGGGAGCGAACAGGAUUAGAUACCCGGGUAGUCCCUGUCUCUUAUAC
rnacentral:rRNA from 1 species